GAUGAAGUACAUAUCUGUGAAAUUUAGAUAGAUUGUUUUUUGGAUUAUGUUCAGUAUGCAUUUCACUUGUAGUUUGUUUCAAUUUGCUUGUCUUAACCUUGUGGCUUUUAGUUUUGCUUAUAUGGUUUUCUCUAAGAUUGAUAGAGUUAGGAACAAUUAUGAAUAGAAAAGAAACAAAUAAGCUAGUCUAGUUGGAGGAAAUAACUCUGUAAUAUAUUGAUAAUGGCAGAAGACAAUACAAUCAGUAUCUCAAUUACAAACCAAAUCACUCCCUCUCUUCUUCUGGUAACAACAAAGAAAAACCCUAAAAGAAAUAACAUGGGACUCCAGGAGAAACCUCCUGAGCUAGCAGAGCUAGCCUCCCACUAAUAGCUGCCAAUUAACAUAAA
rnacentral:misc_RNA from 1 species